CGUGCGCUCGUGUCCCGCUCAGCCCAGCAUUGCCUCGCGCACUCGCAUCUGUGCACGACUCCCGUGUCUCGGAGCCCGUGUGUGUUUCUGCCCUGUCUCUCCCCUUUUCAGUUCCUCUCUAUAAACCCUUCACUUCAUGGCGUGGAACCUCAAAGGACGGGCGGCGAUUGCGUCCCUCGACCCGCCCACCCGCUAUCGCGUGCUGCACUCGCACACCAUGACACGCUGCGCCAGCAAGCCGCUGCUGUGGGUGCUGGAGGAACUGAUCACCCUCCGCUACCUCGGCGGCCUAACCGGCCCUCUUCACACAGCGAACUACUUCAUCUGCCUUGUCGUCCGCCUCCUGCAAAUCUGCCCCUCGGUGGCCAUCGUGCGCGUCAUGCUGGAGCAGGAUGUGCACAAGUAUCUGCGCGCCGCGGCGCUUCUGAUCAUCCGUCUUAUCGGGAACGUGGAGCUGCAGCGAGAGGCGAUGCGUGUGGGGUGGUCAGACUACCGAAAGCUGUGCCUCUACGGAUCUGACCCCGCACAGGAGUUGGCAGAGUCGACGUCAAACACCGCUGCCGGAGCGGAGGGGGUGACGGCUGGCACGUCGAGGACGCUCGCCUCCUCUAUGCUGCCGCUGGACCAUUACAAGCGGUCACGCGCGGAGAUGGAGAUGUACAGCGGUAACAGAAAUCUUGCUAGUGGCGCACAAAGCGGUGAGUCUGACCGAGCCAGCGCACAGGUGCCAGAGCCACCACAGUACUGGCUGAUCCGCGUGGAUGAGUUCACCGACUAUCUCUUUGGUGUAGCCUCCGCCUCCACAGCGUCACAGGGCAAGGAGCCGCAUGAGCUCUCGAAGGCACCUGCCUCACCACCGCCCAGCCCAUCUUCGGCAGGCGCAUCCUCUCGCACGCUGCCGGGACACACGUUCAUGGGACUUCAUUUCCCUGCUGUAAUUGUGUAAUGCGUGGCAGACGCGCCCCAUGAACACCGGUGUCCGCACACGCCGGGAAGCAGGUGACGGCGAACAUGAAAAAAAAAGGGAAAGCCAACUCGUGAGCAUGAUGUGGGCUCGGUGGCAGAUCGCAUCCGUUUAGGAUUCCAUCGUGUCUGCCUCCCACCCCUCACCCUGUUUCGCGUACGGAAUAGUGUGUCGGCUCCGAUGAACAUCGUCCAACGCUGAGUAGUAAAUGCUCGAAGGGACAAGGAUUUGCGUUCUCCAUACACACAUAUACGCGUAUGUCUUUCUCUGUUGUCUUCACGCAGCCUCCCUCUCUCCCACCCUCCCGUCCU
rnacentral:misc_RNA from 1 species